AGCGAACGCUGGCGGCAUGCUUAACACAUGCAAGUCGCACGAAGGUUUCGGCCUUAGUGGCGGACGGGUGAGUAACGCGUAGGAAUCUAUCCAUGGGAGGGGGAUAACACUGGGAAACUGGUGCUAAUACCGCAUGAUACCUGAGGAUCAAAGGCGCAACUCGCCUGUGGAGGAGCGUGCGUUCGAUUAGCUAGUUGGUGGGGUAAAGGCCUACCAAGGCGAUGAUCGAUAGCUGGUUUGCGAGGAUGAUCAGCCAAACUGGGACUGAGACACGGCCCAGACUCCUACAGGAGGCAGCAGUGGGGAAACUUGGACAAGCGGGGCAACCCUGAUCCAGCAAUGCCGCUUGUGUGAAGAAGGUCUUCGGAUUGUAAAGCACUUUCGACGGGGACGAUGAUGACGGUACCCGUAGAAGAAGCCCCGGCUAACUUCGUGCCAGCCGCCGCAGUAA
rnacentral:rRNA from 1 species